rnacentral:lncRNA from 1 species
UUUUUCUGCUUCAUGUUAUUUUCAUUGUUGCAAAUGGAAUUAACAUGAAAACAGGUUGUUGGAGAGAUAGAGUUUUAAAAGUUUUUGAUUUUGAUUUGUUUUAAUUUUUAAGGAUGCAUGCCAUGUGUCUAGAGAAGAUUGGUUAGUUUUGAAAUUUUAAAAAUGACUUUGUUGUCUCUCUCUCUCUCUCCAUGAAUGCAUUGCCCCUUCCUU